GGUGUCAUCUGUAAGGGCAGGGAGGCUAUUUGCUGAGGGCUCUGCAGGGGCCAGAGGCUGUGCUGGCAUUUUGUGGGUCAUCUCCUUUGACAGAUGAAACCGAGGCAUAGAGUGGUGGGCAGAAGACCACUCCAAGAGUGAGCGAUGGUGGGACUGGAACCUCAGGGGCCUCAGACGGCUGUCACCUGCUGCAGCUGCACAGGCACAGAGCCCAGGGGCCAUGGCGAAAAUGGACCUCUCCUUCAGGCCCUCCAGCAACAGGGCCACCAGCUCAGCGAUGGCCACACUGCUGGGUGACACAAACUCGUACUCCUCAUGCAUCGUGGAGAGCAGCAGCCUCUGCCCGCCCUGGGCCUCCCUGGAGAUGAAGGGCAGCGUGACCAGGAGCCCCCUCCACCUUCCCCUGAUCCAGCCCCUAAACAGCCUCGGGAGGUGGGGUUGGGGGCCCUGAGUCACAGAUGAGGACACAGAGCUGCUCUGCCAGGGCCAGGACUAGGCCAGACACCACCGUGGGUCUGGACAAAUGAAGGACAGCGGAGCACAGGACCUCUCGGAGGCUGAGAGUGGUGCAGCCCAUGUGUGGGGUUGGCUGUGGGCAGAUAAUGAGGUGGCUGGUGUGCAGUGACACCGCAGGGACACUGCAAAGGUCAGAGCUGAGAUGAGCUGCCGGCUCUGCCAUGUGCUUACUCUGAGCCACCUAACCUCGGCGUGCUUCAGUUUACUAUCUGCUCAUCUGCAGAAUGGGUGAUGCUGUCGGUACUUCGUGGCAUACAGGAAAGUGCCCAGCAUGGCCAGCCUCAGUGAGAGGUGGCCAGUGGGGAGUGGUGGCCACUGUACACCUGGCACAGCCCAGAGAUGCAUGUGCCACUCUGUUGUGUGCUUCAACCAAGGGGCGCUCUGGCAGGGCUUGGCUGGGACUUACCAAAGGGCAUGGAAAAGUUCCCAGUCAACGAGAGCCAUGGAGACCCAUGGGAGUGGGGGUCAGCCCCAGCCUAAGAGGACCCCCACCCCUGCCCUGUGCCCCAGGACACACCAGGCACUGUCCCUUGUCGCUUUCCCAGACAACCUGUACCCUCCAGGCCACCAGUUCUCGUCCAUGACAAAGAAAGGAGCCUUCUAAAUAAGUGCCCGCCAGAGGCUGCACGCUUCCCUGCCCUUUCCAGGUGGAUCUGGGUUUCAAAGAGAAGCUGCCAGUGCAACGCGUGAUUCCCCAAUGGAGUACUUCAUGGGCAGUACGGCCUGGUGCAGGAGGGUGGGGCUCCGAAGUACAGAAGCCAUCGCAUACAUAGAUUCUUGUCCCUCAACCCCGGCCUGUUAACCUGGGACAGCACACUGCCCCUCUCCCCAUCUCUCCCCGAGCCCCCAGAUGCAUCACAAGGACUCAGGGUGUAAGAAGAGAUCUUCCCUCAGGGCCCGCACCUGUUGGUGGCCAGACCCAUGACCUCUGGGAAAGAGAGUUCCAGCAGCAUCUUCUCCUGCUGGUCCAGGAAGCAAAGCCCCUUCCAGUUAACAGCCAAGAUCAGCUGCGUCUUGGGCAGGCGGGGGCCUGGCCAGGAGAGACGGCAGUGUGAAGGCUGCAUGGGACCCCUGGGUGCCCAGCCCAUACCCGCUCCCUGCCCCCUGUCAGAUGCCAUUACCUGAGAGUGUGAUGACUUCGAAGAGCCGGGAGAAGAGCAGCGGCCACUGCAGGCGGGCAGCGUCCACCACCUGCUCUCGCAUGGCCAGUGGUGUGACUUGCUUCUGAGUGUAUGGGGCCUGAGGGGGGAUCCUGGAUGUCACCUCCGUCACCUGCCUUCCCUAGUGAAUCCCUCACCUAGUGCUCAGGGUAAAAGAGUUGAUGGAUCCUUCUGAGAAGGCUCUACAAGGCCAGUGUCUGGAGAUGGAUCCUGUAGGGAGGCACCUGGGAUGUCCCCAGGGACUGGUGCAGCCCUAUCCUUUUUUUUUCUGAGACAGAGUCUCGCUCUGUCACCCAGGCUGGAGUGCAGUGGUGCGAUCUUGGCUCACUGCAAGCUCCGCCUCCCGAGUUCAAGCGAUUCUUCUGCCUCAGCCUCCCGAGUAGCUGGGACUACAGGCGCGUGCCACUGCGCCUGGCUAAUUUCUGUGUUUUUAGUAGAGGGGGUCUUGCCACCUUGGCCAGGCUGGUCUCAAACUCCUGACCUCAGAUGAUCCACCUGCCUUGGCUUCCCAAACUGCUGGGAUUACAGGCAUGAGCCACCACGUCCAGCCUGGCGCCACCCUAUUCUACCUGGGAGGGGUGUGGGGACCCUUUAGGAGGAGGGAGGAAGGCCAUCCCGUCCCCUCAUUAGCAUCUGUAGGGCGGGGCUGCGCUAGCUGUGGAAGGCGCUGUCUGUGUGCCCCAGCCCAGGCUCGCUCUUGCCAGCCUAUGCCUUGCAGGAUUGUGACUCGUUCCGUGCAGGAGGGCAUCUUGCUCCGAGUCUGUGUCCCGGGUGCCUCUCUUCUUUCUUCUCUGGAGCUCUUCUGUGUCUCUGGGGGCCUCUCUCGGGGACCACCUCUAGCUCCUUGUCUUCCAGUCUCCUUCCUUCCUCUUUCCUAACUCCCCGCCUUCACCCGUUCCUCUCCCCAGCACCACUGUGCUGUGUCCAUCACCGACUAUAAUAUCCAACCGAACUCUCUUUUCACUGUUGAAUACAGUGUUAUUUCUUAGAAAAGUGGCUGGGUACUAUUCAUAUACUGGCUUUGGGAAUGUAAUAAAUGCAUCAAAUCUGAA